GUACUAAGGUAGCAUAAUCAUUAGUCUUUUAAUUGAAGAAUAGGAUGAAAGGAACAACUAAUUAUUACAUUAUCAUAAAAAUUUACAGUAAAAUUUACCUUUUAGUAAAAAGGCCCAUAUAAAACAGAAAGACAACAAGACCCUGCUGAACUUAACACUAAUAGUUUUACUGGGAAAGUAAUUUAUAAAUAAUUUAAGUAUAAUUAAACAUCACACAAUAAGAAAUAUUCAACUACAGAAAUAAGUUACCACAGGGUUAACAGCACAAUAUUUUUUAAGAGCCCAUAUCAAAAAAAAAUGAUUGUAACCUCGAUGUUGAAUUAAAUAACUAAAUUAAGCAAAUUUAAUUUAAAGUAAGUCUGUUCGACUAUUUAAAAUUUACAUGAU
rnacentral:rRNA from 1 species